ensembl:rRNA 5S_rRNA 5S ribosomal RNA
UAUAGCACCCAUAUCACCCUGCAACUCACAAGUGGCAACCCACUGAAGCUAAGCAGGUGUGAGCCUGGUCAGUACCUGGAUGGGAGACCCCCUGGGAAAAACUUAAGGUUGCUGCUGGAA